AUUGAACGCUGGCGGCAGGCCUAACACAUGCAAGUCGAGCGGAUGAAGGGAGCUUGCUCCUGGAUUCAGCGGCGGACGGGUGAGUAAUGCCUAGGAAUCUGCCUGGUAGUGGGGGAUAACGUCCGGAAACGGGCGCUAAUACCGCAUACGUCCUGAGGGAGAAAGUGGGGGAUCUUCGGACCUCACGCUAUCAGAUGAGCCUAGGUCGGAUUAGCUAGUUGGUGGGGUAAAGGCCUACCAAGGCGACGAUCCGUAACUGGUCUGAGAGGACGAUCAGUCACACUGGAACUGAGACACGGCCCAGACUCCUACGGGAGGCAGCAGUGGGGAAUAUUGGACAAUGGGCGAAAGCCUGAUCCAGCCAUGCCGCGUGUGUGAAGAAGGUCUUCGGAUUGUAAAGCACUUUAAGUUGGGAGGAAGGGCAGUAAGUUAAUACCUUGCUGUUUUGACGUUACCAACAGAAUAAGCACCGGCUAACUUCGUG
rnacentral:rRNA from 1 species